rnacentral:rRNA from 1 species
GCAGUCGAACGAUGAUCACCCAGCUUGCUCCGUGUGGAUUAGUGGCGAACGGGUGAGUAACACGUGAGUAACCUGCCCCUGACUCUGGGAUAAGCGUUGGAAACGACGUCUAAUACUGGAUAUGACUGCCGGCCGCAUGGUCUGGUGGUGGAAAGAUUUUUUGGUUGGGGAUGGACUCGCGGCCUAUCAGCUUGUUGGUGAGGUAAUGGCUCACCAAGGCGACGACGGGUAGCCGGCCUGAGAGGGUGACCGGCCACACUGGGACUGAGACACGGCCCAGACUCCUACGGGAGGCAGCAGUGGGGAAUAUUGCACAAUGGGCGAAAGCCUGAUGCAGCAACGCCGCGUGAGGGAUGACGGCCUUCGGGUUGUAAACCUCUUUUAGUAGGGAAGAAGCGAAAGUGACGGUACCUGCAGAAAAAGCACCGGCUAACUACGUGCCAGCAGCCGCGGUAAUACGUAGGGUGCAAGCGUUGUCCGGAAUUAUUGGGCGUAAAGAGCUCGUAGGCGGUUUGUCGCGUCUGCUGUGAAAUCCCGAGGCUCAACCUCGGGCUUGCAGUGGGUACGGGCAGACUAGAGUGCGGUAGGGGAGAUUGGAAUUCCUGGUGUAGCGGUGGAAUGCGCAGAUAUCAGGAGGAACACCGAUGGCGAAGGCAGAUCUCUGGGCCGUAACUGACGCUGAGGAGCGAAAGCGUGGGGAGCGAACAGGAUUAGAUACCCUGGUAGUCCACGCCGUAAACGUUGGGCGCUAGAUGUAGGGACCUUUCCACGGUUUCUGUGUCGUAGCUAACGCAUUAAGCGCCCCGCCUGGGGAGUACGGCCGCAAGGCUAAAACUCAAAGGAAUUGACGGGGGCCCGCACAAGCGGCGGAGCAUGCGGAUUAAUUCGAUGCAACGCGAAGAACCUUACCAAGGCUUGACAUACACCGGAAACGGCCAGAGAUGGUCGCCCCCUUGUGGUCGGUGUACAGGUGGUGCAUGGUUGUCGUCAGCUCGUGUCGUGAGAUGUUGGGUUAAGUCCCGCAACGAGCGCAACCCUCGUUCUAUGUUGCCAGCGCGUUAUGGCGGGGACUCAUAGGAGACUGCCGGGGUCAACUCGGAGGAAGGUGGGGAUGACGUCAAAUCAUCAUGCCCCUUAUGUCUUGGGCUUCACGCAUGCUACAAUGGCCGGUACAAAGGGCUGCGAUACCGUAAGGUGGAGCGAAUCCCAAAAAGCCGGUCUCAGUUCGGAUUGAGGUCUGCAACUCGACCUCAUGAAGUCGGAGUCGCUAGUAAUCGCAGAUCAGCAACGCUGCGGUGAAUACGUUCCCGGGCCUUGUACACAC